UCACCGCGGGGAAUCGGUGAUCGGGUCUCCAUUGUCAUCUCUAGUCUUGGGGACGACGCAUUCCCUUCCUCCUCUCAUCCCCUCCCUCACACGCCGCGACGCCUCCUCCUCUUUCCAAUGAGCAGCCAAACCCUAGCACCGUGCAAUCCUCACUCCACGGCGCCGCGCAAUCCUCUACGUCGCCUCCAUGUCCUCCUUGCCGGCGCUGGCGGCAGCGCGGGAUCACGCCACGUGAGAGCUCAAGCGGUGCCGCCGCACGUCACUUCGGCAGCGCUGGGGGGGAAGGAUGGGGACGCCGGAGGUGACGGCGACGGAGCGAGGCGGCUGGUGAACAUGGAUGCCCAGAAGCAGAUCAGGAUGGGUGAUUCGCUACCAAUUGUGCCGUCGGUGGCAUUCAUCAGGGUUCAUCCGCAGGCUGAGCAGUGAAAGCAAACCAGGGGACUAUAUGUGCAUUGGAGGGUGAAGCUUGGUGAGAUGCAUUCAUCUGUAUUAGGACGUGCGUGUUCCCUUUGUGUUUGUUACAGUAGUUUAUAUAGGAUUUGGAAUAAAAAAGGGGACAGUUUUAUGUGCAGGGGUGCUUUUGGCUGCGGGGUGUCCUUGUUCCCAAAUUCGAUGGGCACAGUUGUCUGGACCAUGUCAAAAUCGCCACAACCAACAUCUUGGUUGUGCUACAAUGCAUCUGCAUUGCGAUUGGGCAUCUACUGGAAAAGAACUGGGGUUGAUCACUAGAGGUGUGCUUCAUGCUUGUCAGUGCUGGGAAGAAAAUUCACACAUUCCUGUCAUCCUGUGUCUGGUGAGGACCUCUUCUUCAUCUAUUACUUCCACUGAUCAGUCUUCAAUUCUGGGCAAACUUUCUAUGUACCAAUAGUUCGUGUAGUUAGCUCCCAACCAAAGUGGAAUUUGGUUUCUGUUCUGUACAGGAAAACAAGGUGACAAUGUGACAUGUCUUAGUUUAACUUGGUUUUGGCUAAUUUAAUCUUGACAACGAAAUGCACUGUAGUAGGAAUCAC